rnacentral:piRNA from 1 species
UAUUUCGUGAUUUCAAAAAUA